ensembl:lncRNA
AUUUCUGCUUGGAGAUUGCCUUCUGUGGGGUGUUUGGUGAGUUCUAAUCUUCAGAAAGGGGAAACUGUGAAAUCACCUUUACUUUAGCUGCAGGUAGUGUUAUUUGUAAUAAUACCUGCCAGGUCUAUGCUGUUUGAAUGUAACGUUUUGCAUCAACUAUUUCUAAAAUAUCAGUGUGUCCAGUACCCCAUCACGAUGAUUGAGAGAUUGGCACAGCAGAGGAUACCCAGGAACCUGACACCAUGGGAAAGUUCAAGUUGUACUUCAGGUACCUGGGGCUCUAGACAGCCUGACCUAGUGGAGUCUGUCUCUUGCCUGUGGCACGGGUGUUGGAACUGGAUGAUCUUUAACAUCCUUUCAGAUCAAAAAAUAUGUUAUGAUUCCCAGAACUUAGGCAAUAGUCAUUGGAGCAGUAAAUCACUCUUAUCACAGUUACCAGAAGUCUCAGUUACCCAUACAGGAGGAAAGUUUAGAUUCAUUUACAGUGAAUCCCUCAAACAGGAGUGAGUCCUAAUCAACCAUAAAAACUGGAGGCUGGAUUUCUUGCUGUGAAAAGGUGCCAAGCCAUUUUCUUUGAAAAUUUUGAUUGGUAAAAAUCCAAAACGUUGUAUUAAAAGAGUAAGGUGUCCUUCUUUAAAGUCUUUAAAUACAGCUGUCUGUCAUGAAGUGUACUUGCUGCUAAAAUCUGAAUCACUUUGAGCCUACACAGACACCCAAGAUGAUCUUUAUCUGAAAUAGUCUCUGCAGAGUCACUAUCUGUAGAUCACUGUUUCUGAUUUUUUUACACAGGCUUUAAAGCAAGUAUUGAAAGGAGGUGCACUUUUUUCCUACAGCUGGUCAUAGACUGUUUCAUUUGGAAGGAUUUUACAAAGUAUUCUACUAUUAGUUGGUCACUUAGUACCUGAAGGAUAUCUUAGGCUUGAGUUGAUGGACCUCAGUCUUUCCCAUCUAAUAAACAGCGUUAAUAUCCCCAAAAUGUUUGCAGAUAUGAAAAGAUCUUGGUAGUGGAAAGACUGCUGGAGAGCAAGCAGAGCAAAUACUAACUUAAAAUGAGGUUUUCUUGAAUCAAGAUUUAACCUUACCAGGUAUAGAAGUGAAACUUAAAGUUUCAUUCUAAUUUUGCUUCUGGCAUCACAGUUUUGGAAUGCAACCUCAACAAAGAGAAUUGGAUAAAAUACCUCUUUGAGAUUUUUCAAGAAUUCCUAAAAUCCUUGUAUUUCUAAUUAUUAGUUCAUUCACAAUCUCAUUAAUCUGGUUACCAAGAGACUGUUUUUUGUUCUCUCAUCCCAAGAAACAAUUUCUUGCAAUUUUCUGCAUUUAUUUAUUUUUUAAAAUAUUACUAUUCCAACACGUUAAUCAGAAUCACGGAGUCAUCUAAGUUGGAAAACACCUGGAAGAUCAUCUAGUAGUUCCUUACAUCCUUUCUUAUAUGUCCAAACAAUCAAUUUCGGUAAAGGAUUUCUGCAAAAUGUUUAUGUAAGAAAUCUGUGAAGUGUUUACUGUCAGCUUCUGAAAUUGUAUUUCUGCCUUCAGGCUUCAGUUAGCAGUAGAAAUCAUUAAAGAAGUUUUACAGAAUAAAAAGCAAAAGCCUUUGUUAAUGCAAAUUUGAAAUAAGAUUCUGGUCAUUGAAAACCCGCAAGUUAAUGCAGAGAUUCAAACUCACUGAUGGCACUGAAUUAUGAUACUCGAUGUAAAACCUUAAUACUGAACUGCUGUACCCUGACUAUUUGUAUUAAACUAUUAGAAAUUAAUCUGAACAAAACUUUUACUACAACAUAGCAUUUAUAAUUUAGGGUGGUUCUUUUUUUUUUUCCUUUGGAUGAUCUAGAAUCUAAGUACAGACACAAGCAACUUUACCUUUAGAGGGUGUUGAAGUAGAAGACUAUAACCAGACUUCUCUGAAUUCCGAGCUUUUGCAUACUUACAACUCUGGGCAUGACUAUAGCUGCUUGAACUGAUUUCUGUUUCACUGAAAUUUGUGGAUGAAUAAAAUUAUUUAACUU